rnacentral:rRNA from 1 species
GACGAACGCUGGCGGCGUGCUUAACACAUGCAAGUCGAACGGAAAGGCCCUGCUUUUGUGGGGUGCUCGAGUGGCGAACGGGUGAGUAACACGUGAGUAACCUGCCCUUGACUUUGGGAUAACUUCAGGAAACUGGGGCUAAUACCGGAUAGGAGCUCCUGCUGCAUGGUGGGGGUUGGAAAGUUUCGGCGGUUGGGGAUGGACUCGCGGCUUACCAGCUUGUUGGUGGGGUAGUGGAUUACCAAGGCCUUGACCGGUAGCCGGCCUGCGAGGGUGACCGGCCACAUUGGGACGGGGAUACGGCCCAGACUCCUACGGGAGGCAGCAGUGGGGAAUAUUGCACAAUGGGCGGAAGCCUGAUGCAGCAACGCCGCGUGCGGGAUGACGGCCUUCGGGUUGUAAACCGCUUUCGCCUGUGACGAAGCGUGAGUGACGGUAAUGGGUAAAGAAGCACCGGCUAACUACGUG